rnacentral:misc_RNA from 1 species
CUCCCCUCAAGCUCUGCUUGGUAUUGGGCCCUGCUAGUCAUAGCCAGCCCUAAAUCCAGUGGGCCCAGCCCCGAGGAAUCUAGGUGUGGUUUAUCCUCCGCCUCAGGCCCUCGCGACCGGUGCCUAUCCCAAUCCCUCUGUGG